UCGAGUUCCAAACUAAAACUGCACAGUUUGCGGUGUGGGUCAGAAUCUGGAGUUGCGGAACUGAACCCUAGCCAAUGAUUGUGACAGUCGGCCUUCACCUCGGGAGGCAUCACGCCCUCCAAGUUGGCCACUUAUGGUACAGAAAUGUACGGUACGGUCCUGUCGGUAACACUUCUUACCUUCAGCGGCUCGUAUCGUCCAUCCACCGACCCACUGGAUCGGCUGUCUGGAAUGCACGAUUGGUAACGUGUCGUGCAUUCUGGGCAGUCUGAGGAUACCCGUUCAGUGUUGGCCUGGUUCGUUGCACUUUCUCCCUUCGGGUGAGUCCUGUUUGUGCUUUUUAUUCAUGUCUCUCUGGUUGCAGAUGGUUUGAAGGUGCUGGAAGUAGCUAGGACUGUUCACGCAGUCUUGGUGAAAACGGCGCCCUCGCCUGAAGGACCCUGCUUCUCCGGCUUCGGCUGGUAAAGCUAAACUUA
rnacentral:misc_RNA from 1 species